UAAAGUUUGAUUCUGGCUUGUAUUUUUAUUUUAUGGUUAUGUGUACAUGUAUAUUUUGGUGGGGGGUUAAGUUUGAGUUUAAAGAUGUCUUACUUAGGAAGACUGGUGAGUAAAGAUCGCAGUAUGAAGUGUUAAUGAUUGGACUGGAGUUCGAUUUAGUAAAUUGUAAUAAGCUUGAUUAAAUUUUGUGCCAGCCGUCGCGGUUAGACUUAAAAGUUAAGUAAAAAUAUUUCAGUUGGAGUUAUUCAGGGCCUUGGUUUAAAAUAUGGAUUUAUAAAAAAUAAAGGGUGAAAUAGGUUUAUUAAGAGUAAAUUAGAGUUUAAGGGCCAGGUUCGGAGAAGCUUGCGAGAUCAGGGUAUAAACUAGGAUUAGAUACCCUACUAUACUUGGGAAAAAUAAAUAUAAAACUUGAAUAUUAGGAGUUAUGGGCUUUAAAUUCAAAGAAUUUGGCGGUAUUUUAGUCUUGUUAGAGGAACCUGUUCUGUAAGCGAUAUUACACGUAUAAUCUUACUUACUUUUGUUUUAGCUUGUAUACCGUCAUUAUUAGAUAACCUUUAUUGAGAGAGUUAUUGGCCUAUAAAAAAAUUAGAUAUAUUAGAUCAAGGUGCAGUUAAUGGGUAAGUAGUAAUGGGUUACAAUGAAAUUUAUUUAAACGAAUUAAUGUUUGAAAAAUUAUUAUGAAGGAGGAUUUAAUUGUAACAUAAAUUUAAUAAGUUUAUGUGAUAUGAGAACUAGAAUAUGUACAUAUCGCCCGUCGCUUCCGUUUAAGGCGGAAUAAGUCGUAACAUAGUAGGUGUACUGGAAGGUGCCCCUAGAAUUAAU
rnacentral:ncRNA from 1 species